ACGGCACACCUCUGCCCUGGGGAACGUAACAGGUUUUAGUUCUUGUAUAUUUUUUGUUGGCUGUGCCAUCCGGCACGUGGGAUCUUAGUCCCCUGACCAGGGAUUGAACCCACGCCCCUCUGCAACGGAAGGCAGAUUUUAGACACCGGACCACCAGGGAAUUCCCGUGUUUUAUUUCUUGAAGAAACUUCUGACUCAUCUCCGUUACUCCUUCCUGCUCCACCUCCCCCGCCCCCGCCUUCUUUUCCCUUGGAAACGGCCUCAGAGAUUCCGGAAGGUGCUUCCUUACUUCUGAGCCACCUGCGUGGGAGGAAGCUGAGGACGUGAAGCUCCACCUCAGAUCAUCAGGGAUUAGAUCCCAGAGGUUGGGAACCCCUGUCCUAGAGAACCUGUCUGCAAAGCCUAAAAUAUUUGCCAGCUGGCCCUUUACAGAGAAAGUUUGUGGAUACCUGCUUGGAUGCACAGUGCUUGGUUUGGAGCGUGGCGACAGACGGGCUGAGCUGAGAACUGGAGCUGUCGGAAGGACGGGCACACUCUCCCAGUUCAACAAUCUGCCUGCAGGAAUCUGAAAGAGACUCAGGAUAUCUUAACUCUUCGAGGAAGCGGGCUUCUUAACUUGGAGUCCCUGUGGGGGUCACAGGUUACCGCAUGGUUGAUGAAGGGAUGCAAGGCUCUAGCUACAAGCCAGCUGGCAUGGUGGGGCGGGAAGAGCACUGCUCUGCGGUCUGUAAUGAAUGACUAGGUCCAGGCGCGACCCACCAGUGGCUGCCA
rnacentral:lncRNA from 1 species